UACAGAGGUGGCAAGCGUUGCUCGGUAUCACUGGGCUUAAAGGGCGCGUAGGCGGUGCGGUACGGUUUCGGUGAAAUCCCUCGGCCCAACCGAGGAACAGCCGGAGCUACGGCCGGACUAGACGGCAUCAGGGGACAGUGGAACUCCCGGUGGAGCGGUGAAAUGCGUAGAUAUCAGGAAGAACACCUAUGGCGAAAGCAGCUCUCUGGGACGGUACUGACGCUGAGACGCGAAAGCGUGGGGAGCGAACAGG
rnacentral:rRNA from 1 species